rnacentral:rRNA from 1 species
UGCGUAGGCGGGGCAAUUAGUCAGUGGUGAAAUCCUGCGGCUUAACCGUAGAACUGCCAUUGAUACUGUUGCCCUUGAGUAUAGUUGAGGUGGGCGGAAUGUGUAAUGUAGCGGUGAAAUGCAUAGAGAUUACACAGAACACCAAUUGCGAAGGCAGCUCACUAAACUAUAACUGACGCUGAGGCACGAAAGCGUAGGGAGCGAACAGGAUUAGAUACCCUGGUAGUCC